rnacentral:tRNA from 1 species
GCCAGGGUAGCUCAGCGGUAGAGCAGCGCCUUCAUAAGGCGUGGGUCGUGGGUUCGAAUCCCACCCCUGGUA